CACGUAGGGCGCAAGCGUUGUCCGGAAUUAUUGGGCGUAAAGAGCUCGUAGGCGGUUCGGCAAGUCGGACGUGAAAUCUCCACGCUUAACGUGGAGGGGGCAUUCGAAACUGCUGUGACUCGAGUCCGGUAGGGGAGUGUGGAAUUCCCGGUGUAGCGGUGAAAUGCGCAGAUAUCGGGAGGAACACCAGUAGCGAAGGCGGCACUCUGGGCCGGUACUGACGCUGAGGAGCGAAAGCGUGGGGAGCGAACAGG
rnacentral:rRNA from 1 species